rnacentral:lncRNA from 1 species
GUGAAUCAUGGGAAAUAUUAACAAAGUUGCAUUGUCAUUUGUUGAUAUCAAUGUCCAGUUGUCUGCAAUUCCAAAAUUGGAAACACAUUAUUUAAAAUAUUUAGACUUUUGACAGUAACUUAUGAUUAGGUAUGACAGUUAAUGAAAUCUUGCAUAUGGUAUCCAUACUUUCCUUGGCUUCAGUACAUGAUAUUACAUGACAUUUCAGAAAGCAUUCUCAAGCUUUCAAUAUAGGCAAUGUUGCUUAUUGUUUCUUAGUUUCUGGAAAGCGGAUGACCGUCAGUUUGCUAUUUUAUAAUUAAGAUGCUUGUCUACUCUUUUAAGUAUUUUUAAAUUCCUGCUUAUUGAGGGCAUUUGUAUAUAUUCUUUCAUCUCAUCAUCAUGUGGAUUAAUUUUCUGCUGUUUUGUUUGCUCCAUAGUCUAUAUGUUUUGAUGAUUAAUAUAGUCACUGUUGUAAUUUUGUUGCAAAUCCUCUACAUAAAUGCAAAAUUAUAUCCAUGUGCAUUUCCAUCAUUGAUUAUUCUAUUAAAUGCAUCAUGUCUAUUCUGGUUUGUGGAACACUCCCUAAGAUAAGUCCAGACCUAAGGAAUCCAUCCUCCAGACCUAAGGAAGAUAUCAAGUCAAUCUGUAAUCUAAACAUAAAUAACCAUGAAGAAUAUGUAGAAAUAACAAGCAGAAAUUUAAGAGAGGCUGCAAGAAUACAAAAAUGACAUUGACAAAGGUAACUUUACAAUGGCACUUAGUAAAAGAUGUAUGAACAUAAUGGAAAAAUUUAAAUUUGAUAAUACCAGCAUCAUAAAACCAUGUAACACUUUGAAAGAAGGGUUGAUUAAAAAAUCAAUAGAGAUUAUAGAAAGAGUACAAUACAAGGAUAUAAUUAAUGACCAAGAUUAUAGAAACAUUUCUAAAACAUGAUUGUAUUCAUUGAAGAGAACAUC